rnacentral:rRNA from 1 species
GUGUCAGCAGCCGCGGUAAGACGAACCGUGCGAACGUUGUUCGGAAUCACUGGGCUUAAAGGGCGCGUAGGCGGGCGACAUAGUCGGGGGUGAAAUCUUUCGGCUCAACCGGAAAAUAGCCUUCGAUACUGGUCGUCUGGAGGGAGGUAGGGGCGUGUGGAACUUCCGGUGGAGCGGUGAAAUGCGUUGAUAUCGGAAGGAACUCCGGUGGCGAAAGCGACACGCUGGAUCUCACCUGACGCUGAGGCGCGAAAGCCAGGGGAGCGAACGGGAUUAGAUACCCCGGUAGUCC